rnacentral:rRNA from 1 species
AGUCGUGCGAGAAAGGGCUUCGGCCCCAGUAAAGCGGCGCACGGGUGAGUAACACGUAGGUAACCUACCCCUUGGUGGUGGAUAACCUUCCGAAAGGAGGGCUAAUACAGCAUGAGACCACGAUGUCGUGAGACAUUGAGGUCAAAUCGGGCCUCUAUAUAUAAGCUCGAGCCGAGGGAUGGGCCUGCGGCCCAUCAGCUAGUUGGUAGGGUAAUGGCCUACCAAGGCAAAGACGGGUAGCUGGUCUGAGAGGAUGAUCAGCCACACUGGAACUGAGACACGGUCCAGACUCCUACGGGAGGCAGCAGUGGGGAAUCUUGCGCAAUGGGGGAAACCCUGACGCAGCGACGCCGCGUGAGUGAUGAAGGCCUUCGGGUUGUAAAGCUCUGUGGAGAGGGACGAAUAAGUGUGGUCGAAUAGGCCGCAUGAUGACGGUACCUUUUUAGCAAGCACCGGCUAACUCUGUGCCAGCAGCCGCGGUAAGACAGAGGGCGCAAACGUUGUUCGGAAUUACUGGGCGUAAAGCGCGUGUAGGCUGCUUGGAAAGUCGGAUGUGAAAGCCCUGGGCUUAACCUAGGAAGUGCAUUCGAAACUUCCAAGCUUGAGUUUCGGAGAGGAAGGCGGAAUUCUCGGUGUAGAGGUGAAAUUCGUAGAUAUCGAGAGGAACAUCGGUGGCGAAGGCGGCCUUCUGG